AUUGAACGCUGGCGGCAGGCCUAACACAUGCAAGUCGAGCGGUUGAGGUAGCUUGCUACCGAUGCAGCGGCGAACGGGUGAGUAAUACAUGGGAAUCUGCCUGGUAGUGGGGGACAACGUCUCGAAAGGGACGCUAAUACCGCAUACGCCUACGGGGAAGGGGGAGUCUUCGGACCUCUCGCUAUCAGAUGAGCCCAUGUCAGAUUAGCUAGUUGGUGGGGUAAAGGCUCACCAAGGCGACGAUCUGUAACUGGUCUGAGAGGAUGAUCAGUCACACUGGAACUGAGACACGGUCCAGACUCCUACGGGAGCAGCAGUGGGGAAUAUUGGACAAUGGGCGCAAGCCUGAUCCAGCCAUGCCGCGUGUGUGAAGAAGGCCUUAGGUUGUAAAGCAC
rnacentral:rRNA from 1 species